GUGUCAGCCGCCGCGGUAAUACGGAGGGUGCAAGCGUUGUUCGGAAUUACUGGGCGUAAAGGGCGUGUAGGCGGUGUGGUAUGUCAGAUGUGAAAGCCCUGGGCUUAACCCAGGAAGUGCAUUUGAAACUGCCAUGCUUGAGUAUGGGAGAGGAGAGUGGAAUUCCCAGUGUAGAGGUGAAAUUCGUAGAUAUUGGGAGGAACACCCGUGGCGAAGGCGACUCUCUGGACCAAUACUGACGCUGAGGCGCGAAAGCGUGGGGAGCAAACAGGAUUAGAAACCCUCGUAGUCC
rnacentral:rRNA from 1 species